rnacentral:rRNA from 1 species
CCCUUAGAUGUUCUGGGCCGCAUGCGCGCUACACUGAUGCAUUCAACGAGUGUACCUUGGCCGAGAGGCCUGGGCAAUCUUUUGAACGUGCAUCGUGAUAGGGAUAGAUUAUUGCAAUUAUUAAUCUUGAACGAGGAAUUCCUAGUAAACGCAGUUCAUCAAACUGCAUUGAUUACGUCCCUGCCCUUUGUACACACCGCCCGUCGCACCUACCGAUUGGAUGGUCCGGUGAAGCCUCGGGAUUGUGGCGGUUGCCUUUAUUGGUGGCCGCCGCGAGAACUUGUCUAAACCUUAUCAUCUAGAGGAAGGUGAAGUCGUAACA